rnacentral:rRNA from 1 species
UACGUAGGGGGCAAGCGUUGUCCGGAAUUAUUGGGCGUAAAGAGCGCGUAGGCGGUCUGAUAAGUCCGCUGUGAAAGUCGGGGGCUCAACCCUCGAAUGCCGGUGGAUACUGUCGGGCUAGAGUGCGGAAGAGGCGAGUGGAAUUCCUGGUGUAGCGGUGAAAUGCGCAGAUAUCAGGAGGAACACCUAUUGCGAAGGCAGCUCGCUGGGACGUAACUGACGCUGAGACGCGAAAGCGUGGGGAGCAAACAGG